AACAUUUAUUUUUAUUCAAAAUUAUAUUAAGAUCAUGAAACAAUAUUACCUUCUAUUUUGAUAUGUGAUUAAUGAUAUAAUCAUGCUAUAGUUACUGUUAUGACCAACUGACCUAACUACGUCUGCUGUUAAUAAUGUUUUUAUUUAAAAAAAAAAAGUGCACACAUCCUUGGUUGGACCUACUCACAAUACAAGUCAACAAUCAAAACAAUAUGUAGUCAUUUUCAUCCUUAAAAUGUGAAAAACAAACAAAAAAACAAUGUAUAGUUUGUUGGAUUGAUCAAAACGAAAAUAGGAAUAAUGGAUCAAAUUGCUAAACAAUUUAUGAUUUAAGAUACCUUUUACAUCCUUAGAAGAAAACCCAAAAGUAAACCCUUAUGAUCAUUAGAUUAUAUAUAUAUCUCUUAUCUUUCUUAAAUAAGGACAUCCUUAAAUCGUGGAAAGCCAUAAAUUUUUUGAGACUGAAAGGUGUGAUUUGUCUCUCUUCCUUUUACAAGAGCGACAAGAUGCAAUGUACAAGCUGGUGAAGGAAAAGAUAUUAGAUCUUUUCUUAGUGGUUGGUGGAUGGAACUCAAGAAACACGUCUCACCUACAACAGAUUGCAGAAAGUCGUGGAAUUCCCUCCUAUUAUGUUGGCAUUGAGAAGAGAACUUUCUGCCUCAAGGUCCUCUUACUAUAGGUGUCACAGCUGAUGCCUCUACUCCAGAUAAGGUCAUUGAAGACUUUCUUAUUAGGGUGUUCCACAUCAAGAGUCAAGAAUGCCUGCAACUAGCAUAGAAGCUGAACUGAAGCCGGAAUUUCAAAUGAAUGCAAUGUAUAAAGUGUAAAAUAUUAAUGUUAUUAAAUAUUAUGAAUAACAGAUUAUUAUGUGCUUAUCGAUAGUUUGUUGAUAUUUCUAGGUUUUUGAACUAUUGAUAUUUCUGAAAUCAACAAUAUUUAAGAUCUUGGUUA